rnacentral:rRNA from 1 species
UACGAAGGGGGCUAGCGUUGUUCGGAAUUACUGGGCGUAAAGCGCGCGCAGGCGGUCCUUCAAGUCAGAGGUGAAAGCCCAGAGCUCAACUCUGGAACGGCCUUUGAGACUAGAGGACUUGGGUACGGGAGAGGUGAGUGGAAUUUCCGGUGUAGCGGUGAAAUGCGUAGAUAUCGGAAGGAACACCUGUGGCGAAAGCGGCUCACUGGACCAUAACUGACGCUGAGGCACGAAAGCUAGGGGAGCAAACAGG